UGUCAGGACGACAAAAGCUCUGAGUUCUGUUAACAUCAGAGUUUUGUUGCCCCGACUCC
rnacentral:pre_miRNA from 1 species